AACGAACGCUGGCGGCAUGCCUAACACAUGCAAGUCGAACGAGACCUUCGGGUCUAGUGGCGCACGGGUGCGUAACGCGUGGGAACCUGCCCUUAGGUUCGGAAUAACUCCCCGAAAGGGGUGCUAAUACCGGAUAAUGUCUUCGGACCAAAGAUUUAUCGCCUUUGGAUGGGCCCGCGUUGGAUUAGCUAGUUGGUAGGGUAAAAGCCUACCAAGGCGACGAUCCAUAGCUGGUCUGAGAGGAUGAUCAGCCACACUGGGACUGAGACACGGCCCAGACUCCUACGGGAGGCAGCAGUGGGGAAUAUUGGACAAUGGGCGAAAGCCUGAUCCAGCAAUGCCGCGUGAGUGAUGAAGGCCUUAGGGUUGUAAAGCUCUUUUACCCGGGAUGAUAAUGACAGUACCGGGAGAUAAGCUCCGGCUAACUCCGUG
rnacentral:rRNA from 1 species